AUUUAAGUAAUUUAAUAAAAAAUAUUGAUUUGUGGUAUCAAAUAUGUAAUAAUUUACCUUAGAUU
rnacentral:tRNA from 1 species